rnacentral:tRNA from 1 species
GCUACGGUGGUCUAGCGGUCAGAACGCUGGGCUUGUAAUCCUGGGGUCUCGGGUUCGAUUCCCGGCGGUGCCC